rnacentral:rRNA from 1 species
UACAUGGGGUGCAAACGUUGCUCGGAAUUAUUGGGCGUAAAGCGCACGUAGGCGGUUUGUUAAGUCGGAUGUGAAAUCCCUCGGCUCAACUGAGGAAGUGCACCCGAAACUGGCAGGCUUGAGUACUAAAGAGGGUCGCGGAAUUCCCGGUGUAGAGGUGAAAUUCGUAGAUAUCGGGAGGAACACCGGUGGCGAAGGCGGCGACCUGGGUAGAUACUGACGCUGAGGUGCGAAAGCGUGGGGAGCA